rnacentral:rRNA from 1 species
AGCGAACGCUGGCGGCAGGCCUAACACAUGCAAGUCGAACGAAGUCUUCGGACUUAGUGGCGGACGGGUGAGUAACACGUGGGAACGUGCCUUUAGGUUCGGAAUAACUCAGGGAAACUUGUGCUAAUACCGAAUGUGCCCUUCGGGGGAAAGAUUUAUCGCCUUUAGAGCGGCCCGCGUCUGAUUAGCUAGUUGGUGAGGUAAAGGCUCACCAAGGCUACGAUCAGUAGCUGGUCUGAGAGGAUGACCAGCCACAUUGGGACUGAGACACGGCCCAAACUCCGACGGGAGGCAGCAGUGGGGAAUCUUGCGCAAUGGGCGAAAGCCUGACGCAGCCAUGCCGCGUGGAUGAUGAAGGUCUUAGGAUUGUAAAAUCCUUUCACCGGUGAAGAUAAUGACUGUAGCCGGAGAAGAAGCCCCGGCUAACUUCGUGCCAGCCGCCGCAGAAUAC